GAUGAACGCUGGCGGCGUGCCUAAUACAUGCAAGUCGAGCGAACGGACGAGAAUCUUGCUUCUCUGAUGUUAGCGGCGGACGGGUGAGUAACACGUGGAUAACCUACCUAUAAGACUGGGAUAACUUCGGGAAACCGGAGCUAAUACCGGAUGAUAUUUUGAACCGCAUUGUUCAAAAGUGAAAGACGGUCUUGCUGUCACUUAUAGAUGGAUCCGCGCUGCAUUAGCUAGUUGUUAAGGUAACGGCUUACCAAGGCAACGAUGCAUAGCCGACCUGAGAGGGGGGUAGGCCACAUUGGAACUGGAACGCGGACAAGAAGCCUAAGGGAGGGAGCAGAAGGGAAUGUUAGGCAAUGGGCGAAAGCAUGACGGAGCAAGGGCGCGUGAGUGAUAGAGGUCUUCGGAUCGUAAAAAUCUGUUAUGAGGGAAGAACAUAUGUGGAAGGAACUGAGGACAGAGUGACGGUACCUGAUCAGAAAGCAACGGCUAACUACGUG
rnacentral:rRNA from 1 species